rnacentral:tRNA from 1 species
GGCUCCGUGGUGAAUAACAUGUCAGAUUGCAAACCUGAAGAUGCAGACAAAUCUGCCGGGGCCU